rnacentral:rRNA from 1 species
GAGUUAUGGCGUCAGGAUGAACGCUAGCGGCAGGCUUAACACAUGCAAGUCGAGGGGCAGCGGGGAGUAGCAAUACUCUGCCGGCGACCGGCGCAAGGGUGCGUAACGCGUGAGCAACAUGCCCGUCACAGGGGGAUAAUCCAUGGAAACGUGGUCUAACACCGCAUAGAUUAUAGGAGUGACAUCAUUUUUAUAAGAAAUUCGCAAGAAGGUGACGGAUUGGCUCGCGUAACAUUAGCCAGUUGGUAGGGUAACGGCCUACCAAAGCGACGAUGUUUAGGGGUCCUGAGAGGGAGGUCCCCCACACUGGAACUGAGACACGGUCCAGACUCCUACGGGAGGCAGCAGUGAGGAAUAUUGGACAAUGGAUGGAAAUCUGAUCCAGCCAUGCCGCGUGCCGGGAUGACUGCCCUAUGGGUUGUAAACCGCUUUUGUACGGGAGCAAUAAGGUCCACGUGUGGAUUGAUGAGAGUACUGUACGAAUAAGCAUCGGCUAACUCCGUGCCAGCCGCCGC